GGGGGCUUUUUGUUGCCAACUAACAAGGGAGGCGAUAUCACUUACACCACCAUACUGAACAAAGUGUCUUUCACAAGCUCCAGAUUUUUUCAAAACAAGCCAUGAAAACUAAAUCCAGCAAACCCUCAAGUUAAUAGCGAGAUUACAAUUUUUUUUUAAAGCAAUCAGUUUUCACGGCCCGGCCCCCCACAGGGCAACCAAAACCGUGACGUGACCUGCAAUGAAAACCAGCACGACCCCCACAACCCCCUGCCACCCCCCUGAAGGCGUCCCGCAGGUGGACACUAGCAAUAGACGCAGAAGGCAUGGCAACACGUGGACAACAACAUGAAGGGGAUUAGCUGCUAAGGCACACUGGAAACUUCUGUUUUAGCAUCGGCGCUGCAGACAGCGGGACGACAAUCUGGUCCUCUUUCAACAAACACCUCAGCUGCUGCCGUCAGCAGAGUGCCUAAGAAGGACCCCUCCCUGUCUGGGCUUUUCCCUCGUGUAAGUGUGAGCUGCAAGGCCAAACACUCACGCUCAACCUGGAUCGCCACCUCGGGCCGUCCGAGUCACCGCUCUCGUCCGACCCGGGAGGUCACGGCGGGUCACCUCUUCGGGGGGACUCUGUGAAAACAUUUCAUUCGUCUGCUGCGGACUGGCAGUGGAAAAAUAACUUUGGAGCCAUCACGGCGGCCCUCGGAACAACACGGAACGAGACGGACGGCGGAUUCCUCAGCAAGAGCAUCCGCGCACGUCAGUCUGAGAAAGGGAAAAAUGUCGUCCAAGCUUCCACAAGGUGUGACGAACAUCUCAUGCCGCUGCGAGUAAACGCCGCUUCCUCACCCCGCCACCCGCUGUCCCGUUUGCCAAUCUCUGCCUCCUCCCCAUUUAACCUCUGACCCGGCCGGACGGGCCGCUCCGAGACGCUCUUUCACUUGUUAGCUUUGUCCGACUCAGAUGUCAAACUACCUUGAGCGAACGCAGAGAAAAAGUGUGAUGCAACUACAGUGUCAAUACCGGCUGCUAUUUAACACAAUAACAAAGAGCAAAAAUUUGCUGUGCGUGUACCUGCAUGUGUGGUCCGACCACAUCCUUUUUUUUUUUUUCUUCAUCGCAAGAACAACACGGCCACCUGCGAGCUACCGCCAUGGUUCCUUCCCACCAACGGCGAGGUUGGUCACGCAGGUUGCAACGCGAGUGGCGUCACGCGAGGUCAUGUUGGUCUCCCCGCAAUUCUCCUCCAUGGUUACGCCACUCUCUGCAAAUAUAGGAGGCCCGUUUCAACCCAGAUGACAUUUAAACUCGCAAACUGAUUAUUUGAAGACCUUUUUGUUGCCACAUGAAAAAAAAAAAAAACACCGGCCUUGCGGGAUGGAAGUUGUUAACCCAAAACUGAGGAUACGCUCAGAGAUGGGAAUUCACCCAAAAUGGCUACUGGCAGACUUUCUGUACAAUUUCGUACAAGUACACUCAAGUGUAUUUUGGCUUAAAAGUGCCACUUUGAAGCGGCUUGAACAUCCAGUCACAUCCCUCGCGACCUGGCAGGCUACUUCCUAUUGAGGAAAACAUCAAUAUUUGGUAAAAGAAGCCCAACAGAAGCCUCUGGAGCAGCCACAACGCUUCUGUGGGCCCAUGCUGACCUUCAACAUCUUUAACUUUGUGUACACGCUGCCAUUGCCAGCUGUAGCUCAUCUGUAUUUAUGAGCAAAUAUUUCUUUUGGGGAAGCGAGAGUACAUGACAGAGAAAAAAUAUUUUGGAAGUCAAAGUUGGCAUUCCUGGGCCACCGCGAGGAAUUCUGAGGAUGCAGGUACAUCAACAACUGGGAUUUAUUGGGAGGCUGAUGCACUAAUGGAAUAAAUGCACGCUCAAGUUAA